rnacentral:rRNA from 1 species
UACGUAGGGUGCAAGCGUUUGUCCGGAAUUAUUGGGCGUAAAGAGCUCGUAGGCGGUCUGUCGCGUCGGCUGUGAAAACCCGGAGCUCAACUCCGGGCCUGCAGUCGAUACGGGCAGACUGGAGUUCGGCAGGGGAGACUGGAAUUCCUGGUGUAGCGGUGAAAUGCGCAGAUAUCAGGAGGAACACCGGUGGCGAAGGCGGGUCUCUGGGCCGUAACUGACGCUGAGGCGCGAAAGCGUGGGGAGCAAACAGG